rnacentral:rRNA from 1 species
UACAGAGGGGGCGAGCGUUGUUCGGAAUUACUGGGCGUAAAGGGCGCGUAGGCGGCCGACUAAGUCAGACGUGAAAUCCCCAGGCUCAACCUGGGAACUGCGUCUGAGACUGGUUGGCUGGAGUUCGGGAGAGGGAAGUGGAAUUCCAGGUGUAGCGGUGAAAUGCGUAGAUAUCUGGAGGAACACCGGUGGCGAAGGCGGCUUCCUGGACCGACACUGACGCUGAGGCGCGAAAGCCAGGGGAGCAAACGGG